GAUGAAGAACGCAGCGAAAUGCGAUAAGUAAUGCGAAUUGCAGAAUCCGUGAGUCAUCGAAUCUUUGAACGCACAUUGCGCCCUUUGGUAUUCCGAAGGGCAUGCCUGUUCGAGCGUCAUUAUCACCCCUCAAGCCCCGGCUUGGUGUUGGGCUCUCGGUGGUCGUCUCCGACCACCCGUCUCAAAGAUAGUGACGGCGUCCCAGAGGGAACCGGUACGAGGAGCUUUCACGAGCAUGUACGCGGGACGACUCUGCGGGCGACGGUCUUAUUUACUUUAUAUACAAGUGUUGACCUCGGAUCAGGUAGGAAUACCCGCUGAACUUAAGCAUAUCAAUAAGCGGAGGA
rnacentral:misc_RNA from 1 species